rnacentral:rRNA from 1 species
CCCUUAGAUGUUCUGGGCCGCACGCGUGCUACACUGAGUGGAUCAGCGGGUCAGGUUGCGCGAAAGUGUUUCCUAAUCUUUAAAUCCGCUCGUGAUGGGGAUUGACGGUUGCAAUUUUCCGUCAUGAACGAGGAAUACCUUGUAAGCGCGGGUCAUCAUCCCGCGCUGAAUACGUCCCUGCCCUUUGUACACACCGCCCGUCGCUACUACCGAUUGAAUGGCUUAGUGAGCCCGAGGGACUGUUGCACCUAGAGGGUUUUCUCUCCAGGAGCAGCUGGGAACUCGGUCAAACUUGAUCAUUUAGAGGAAGUAAAAGUCGUAACA